GAUGAACGCUGGCGGCGUGCUUAACCCUGCCAGUUGGACGGGAUCCACGGGGUGCUUGCGCUUUUUGGGGAGGGUGGCGAACGGGGGAGUAACACGUGAGUAACCUGUCCUUUUCUUUGGGAUAAGCAUUCGAAAGGGUGUUUAUUACAUUAUGUUCUGUCUGCCUCGCAUGGGGUGGGUGGGAAAGGCUUUGGCCGGAUUUGGGUGGGCUCGCGGUCUAUCAGCUUGUUGGUGGGGUGAUGGCUUACCAAGGCUUUGACGGGUAGCCGGCGUGAGAGGGUGGUCGGUCACAUUGGGACUGAGGUACGGUACAGACUCCUGCGGGGGGCAGCAGUGGGGGAUAUUGCACAAUGGGCGAAAGCCUGAUGCAGCGAGGCCGCGUGGCGGUUGAAGGCCUUCGGGUUUUAAUCGUCUUUUGAUCUGAGCAAGUCAUGCCAGUGGGUGUGUGGCGUGUAGGAGUGGAUUAGCGCCGGCUAACUACGUG
rnacentral:rRNA from 1 species